UCUUGUGUCCACACAGUCUUCAUGUUCCCGCCUGAAGCCGUUCAGCACAAGGCUUUGUGAAUGCAAAAAUGAAAUUAUUGAUUUGCUAUGGGAAGUUGUGCAUGUUAGAAACUUGCAUAAAUUCCAAGUUGUCACUGGACAAAUUCAUAGAAGAAAAAUCAAAUAUUCCUCAUUAGUUCUGUAAGUCCUGAGUACGCUAAUAGGCGGAAAUUGGGAGAGGAACUAUUACUGUGCGCAUUACUAUGUGCUUCUCUUUUUCUUAACCCUUUCCUUAGCAUCUGUUGCUGGACAUAGCAAGAGAUGAGAUUCAGUGACUGGUCUGGUACAGCCACUGUUACUGGAGGGUACUGUUGUGUUCUGAUUAUUUAGGCAGUGUCUGUACAGAAGGUAAUUGCUAUAUAAAUGCUAACUAACAUAUUGAUUGUUGCUUUUCAAAACCUCCAGAAGACCCUUGAUUGAUGCAGCUCACUGAAGGAACCACUUCUGCAUGGAAUUAAUUGAUUCAGUAACUUACUUUACUUCUCCUUCCAUCCUAACAUGAUUAGUGGGAGCACACAGCUGCACAUGAAUCGGUUCCAGGAAACCCAGCAAGGCUCUAUUAUACUUCUAAUUCUACAGCAAUAAUAUAUUUAAUAAUAUUUGUUUUCUUACCGGCUCCCCCUUUUGUCCGUCCACUCCAAUACCAGGAUUUCCCUAAUUGACAGAAAAAGUACACAGGUUGAAGAUAACCAGAAAAUGCUGAUAUUAGAAUUUAAUCAAAUAACUCAUUUGAAAAACUUAGUAACAAACAACCAUAAGAGACAUUUUGAAUAUUUGUAUAAAUUAAUCUAUUAUUUUACUAACAACGUCAGGAAAAUCAUGGCCUACCUGUUCACCUGGCAAACCAGGGUAACCCGGAAUACCCUUUAAAAGAGAAUGAAAACAAACAAGUUAGUAUGUCUGAUUUAGACAGCUUUGUCUGAAAAUCACAUACUCUUGCCAGCAGCACCUAGAGGCAGAAUUUCCUCUUGGGAUGAGGAAAUCGCAAUUUACUUCACCUGCUCACUGCUUUCAGCAGGGUUGAACUCUGGCUUCCCACUUUUCACUUCCUGACUCCCACAAGGUGCCCUUGGGGAAAGCGAAUAAGGAGAAAGCAGUAGCAGCAUUCCUCCAUGACCACAGACUGCCAGAUGAAAUGUGUCCACCCAGGCAUGGGAAGGAAAAAUAUAUGCUCCAAUUCCUGAACUUCCAAACUCAUAAGACUGCCUGAUGAAGUGUCCUUCUCCAGCAUCCUAAUAUGCCUACCUUUUCUUUCAAAUUUAAUCACUUUAAAAGUGUGCUAGUUUCCUGAUACUGGCUGCUCAAAUCCUGAAGUCAGAAUGAAACAGAAAAGGUACUUAUACCUGUAAUGACUCAAUAAAAAGAAAAGUUACAGCUGUCUGAAGCUGGAUAUAACUACAGUAGACUAGAUGCAGAUUACAGGUCAAACAACAACUGCUAGGGAACAAAUUAAACACAUCAAAAGUUGUAUUUGGUUAUUCUACAUGUGACCUGUUGUGUAAGACAACAUCUUUAUUAGAUUCAGUUUACCUUCUACAUGACUUAGGUAAGCGCUUACAAAUAAAACUAUUUCCUUUUCCAAUUUAUUGGUGAGAUAAAUGUGCAGACUCUACAAGUGAAGCUGCAGAAUAUGUAGUGUUAAAAAGAAUUAUACAGGACAACAUUAUAAAUAACAUAAAAAUGUUAGCUGUAAUAUACAGUCAAGUUGGUACUUGGUGCAACAAAUUGAUUUAAAAACAGGCAAUCUGCAUAGAGUGGUUGGAAUAGCAUUCUCAUACACAAACAAAUAUGCUUACUAUGUCUGUGUUUUUCUGGGUAGCUAAAUUAAUUUGCACUGGAAUUCUAGUCUGCAUAUCCAAGGCUACAUGCCUAUUGUGUCUCCCAUUUUUUGUAGGCUGCAAAUACUUUUCUAGGCCUGCCAGAAACCAUGCUCCUGGAGUUAAGAGGAUUUAUGCUAUAAUUUGUCCCACAUCUUAUUUUUCUUUUAUGUCAUUUGGCUAAUUAUAAAAGGGAAAACUCUUAUUUUGAAAGCCGUAAAAAGUAAGAAAAUACAGGUAAAAUUACAGUUUGAACAGAAGUAAUUUUUCUGUUUGGAGGGUUAAUAGGUUACUUUCAGAGGUGCAACAAAUAAGAGUUUCAGGGUAUUUUAUCAGGUUGUGUAUUUCAUGCAUUAUUUUUUUCUAUUUGCUACAUUUUUUAUGACAUCUUUUCACUUUGGCACCCAGUGCGCAUUUUUUGAUUCCCUAUGGCUGAAGCAACAUCUUAUUUGGCUUUGACUAAACACUUUUUAUUUUUCAUGCAAAAUGCAGUUGUUUUUACUGUUUUACUUAGAAAAUUUCAGAGAAGCUCUUAGACCAACUAAUGAGCUCUUAAUCACUCAGAACUAGAACUUGUUUUCACAAGAAGUCAAAGACCAGGGACUAGGUCUGUUCAGCAAAAUCUCUUUGGAGCUACAGUGAUUUAUAUCCCGUACUGACAUUAAUCAGUGGUUUAUCUUCAUUAGAAGAGCACUGCCAACACACUACUUAAACAAUUUUAAAAUGCUUUCCAUUUUAACAGCAAAAGUAAAUAAUAUUAAAGUGCUAAUUUUAAACGUUUUAACUGAAAUGACCUUUAUGUAUACAGAUAAAGACCCAGGCAAGAUUAAGUGUGCACAGAGCAGUCAUGAAUAGGUAUAUAUACAAAAUAGCACAUGAAACUGUAAAAGAAUGAUUUGGGAAGAGAUCUACUAAUACACUUGUGUGAUCAACCACCA